rnacentral:rRNA from 1 species
CCUACGGGGGGCAGCAGUGAGGAAUAUUGGUCAAUGGCCGUAAGGCUGAACCAGCCAAGUCGCGUGAAGGAAGAAGGCUUUCGGGUUGUAAACUUCUUUUGACAGGGAAGAGCAGAAGACGGUACCUGUCGAAUAAGCCACGGCUAACUACGUGCCAGCAGCCGCGGUAAUACGUAGGUGGCAAGCGUUGUCCGGAUUUACUGGGUGUAAAGGGCGUGUAGCCGGGCUGACAAGUCAGAUGUGAAAUCCGGGGGCUCAACCCCCGAACUGCAUUUGAAACUGUUGGUCUUGAGUAUCGGAGAGGCAGGCGGAAUUCCUAGUGUAGCGGUGAAAUGCGUAGAUAUUAGGAGGAACACCAGUGGCGAAGGCGGCUUACUGGACUGUAACUGACGUUGAGGCUCGAAAGCGUGGGGAGCAAACAGGAUUAGAUACCCGGGUAGUC